ACUUUUGCAGCCAAAUUUAUAAACUUGCCUUUUCUUUUCCACAUCAAAUCCUCACCUUUUGGAUUUUUCAGCAAGUAAUAAAUUAUUUGCGAAAAUAGUGUGCCGAGUCUGUUCAUUUGGCUGCAAAACAAAUCUUGAUGCACCAUGAAGCCCAUCAGUGCUACAUACCAAGUAGGGCCAAAGGCCAGUAGGGUUAGAUCUACCACAAUUCCUAAGCUACUACAUCUGCCUUCUGCCAUCUGAAUGUGCAUAUCAUCCUCCAAUCCACUUUCUUUCCAUUCACCAUUCCAACCAAUCGACACAACAACAGCAGUAGCAAAGGUAUGAGAAUUGAGAGACUCUAUACACAGCUCCCAUUCACAUGGCUCAAAAUCAGAACAAAUCACAAAUGGUGGUUAAGAAAAAAGUAGCAGGAGGUUAGUCGAAGCUCGAUGACCGGCUCCAGUACCCGUCAGCUGAAGUGUCCAUGGUCUGUUCAGUGCUGCAGUGCGAGAGGGUGUCAUCCUCCACGCCCAGCAACGCGAGGUUCAGGUGUGACUGCAUGUUUGAGUCAGGAGCCGCCACAGCCUCCUCGUCUGAUCCGUCGAAGCUCGCGGUGACGUGGGACCUUGCCCAGUGGUCAGUGGAUCGUUUCGUCAUCUCCUUCAAGCAGUUUCAAAAUCUGUGUUGCCAGAACAUAGCAAGUUGAGGUCAAUCAUCAAGACAUUUUUUAAGUAUUUUGCACAUGUAAUUUGUUCAGGUUCUUACCUGUGACAUUUCCGGUCGGGAAUGAGAAGAUGUCCUUGUGCAUAGCAAGGCUGCAAGAGUCAGUCAUCAGCUAAAGAAUGGAGGCCUAAUCCAACAUCAUCCUCUCCAUUUCGUCACAGUCAUAAUCAUUUCCCAAGAAUGGAUCAACCAAUUGUUUAAUUUCCCCACUUGAUAGUAAUGGCUUUGCCUGAAACCGUCAACAUAGAAUUAGCAAAAAGAAAAAAUAAUUAAUAACUUGCUCGUGCAAGAGUGCUUGUGUGGUCAACAGAGCAAAAAAUGCAGCAAAAAAUUCCAACAGUGCGUGAACGUGCAACUACCAUUUUGUUCUUGGCUCAGGGCAUGUUACUGCUCAGAGCAAGCCAGCUAGGCAUAUAUGGGGUUAAGGAUCACUCACCCAUCCAACCAGGCUUUCCUGACCCUUUGCACAUCCUGUUCUAAUAUGUCUUCUUCCUGAAAUAAUCUCCAGAACCAGAAUUACAACUCCAAAUGCAUAGACAUCAAUUUUCUCAUUGACCUUCCCGUGCGAAAAAUACUCGGGAGCCAAGUAUCUGUCACUGGAGUAGUUUGCUUAGGCAUUUCACACUUGACAAAAGUAGCAAUAGCAGGUAAAAAUAGCAUAGAGAUGGUACUUACCCAAAAGUUCCCGUGAUGUCAGUACAUGUUAGGCGGGGAGUUGAAGCUGACACUUGCUUUGCCAACCCAAAAUCACAAAGCUGGAAAUUUCAAAAGAGAUGAUGUCAUAAGCAGAAUCAAAAUUAACUAGUAAGGCUACCAAAUACUCAAUGCAAUUCGUCACUGCUAACGCAUUAAGACACUUGCUUUGAUCUGAAAAUAAAUAUUUACUGUACUGAGAUUGCUUCAGGUAUUUCAGUAUUUGCAAAUCUCUUGUGAUUAUUUACCUGUGCCUGAAAAUCCUCUGAGAGGAGGAUAUUCGAAGACUUAACAUCUCCAUGAAUCACAGAUUGGGUGAUACUUCCAUUAUGUAGAUAUUCAAGUGCCUUUGCUAUGCCAAUUGCUAUUUUGAAGACCUCACCUGCCACUGGUGCUGCCUAUCCAGGCAUCUAGGCUUAUCGUUUGUGAUUUUAUUUGUUACCAACAAUGUGUUGGCUGACUUAUCUUCAGAUCAGUUUUUCUUUAUGUUGAUUUUUUUUCGCGAACACGCAAAAAGAUUGCACGUCAAUAUAUUAGAGGAAUAGAGUUUUUGUUACACACUGCAAUUGGCCAGACCGGCUUAUGCCAAGGAAGGGGAAAAAACGCAAAGUCAAAAAACAACGAAGAGAAAAAAGAAAAAGAAAAACUUGAACGCUACUCUAAACAACGGGAGGGGGCAGAGUCAUGCUACACUCCCAACAAGUCCCUAAAGGAAGCAACGCCCGCUAACGACCACAACCGGCCCUCCGACAGGAUGGACUCUAGGACCACUGAGACCGAAGAGAGCGCAGAGUCAAACACCCCGGAGUUAUGUUCCUUCCAUAGCUGCCACAAGACCAGGAGGACCAGGGAGUCGAAGCUGGCACGGAGGUGAUCAGGUAAACCAGCCUUGGAAGAUGGCCACCAGUCCUGGAGCCAGCUGCCACGGGGGGCGAGAGGGCAUUCCAGCCAGGAGGCGACAGCACCCGUAACCAGACCUGACGAGCGAAAACGUAGUCGAGGAGGAUGUGGUUCGCUGUCUCGAGCUCUUGAGCGCAAAAGGGGCAGGUCGAGUGGCUAUCGAUGCUACGCUUUUGGAGGAGAUCAGCCAUCCAACAGCGCUGCUGGAAUGCAAACCAGAGGAAGAAUUUGCAUUUAGCAGGGCCUUUCGCGUUCAAGAGAAGAUCGACACAAGCAAAGGAGUGCUGGCCAAGGAAGAACGCCUGGUACGCCGAAUGCGCCGAGUAGCGCUGGUCACUCGUCCAACGCCAGACAAGACGAUCCUGUUAACGACCAAAUUUGCUAAUCCAGGGAUCAGAGAUGAGGAAGAAAUCGAGAAGGAAUCAAGAUUGAAAUCAUUCCGGAAACAGAGUAAGGAUCAGCUAGAAUCUGAAUCGGCUACGACUGAAAUCGGCAGAGUUCGGUCAGAUGGGUUAGCCGAUUGAGCCAAAUCUGACAGCAUGACAUGGCAUACGUUGUCGGUUUAGGUUGAUGCACUUCGUGAUGAUUGCCGCACAUGGAUAGAGUCCUAAGAAGGCAAUUGUAUCUAUUAAUUAGGAUAUUUUAUGUAAUUUCCUUAGAGAUAAGUGUGGGCAAAAGUUUGCCGCAAAUACUUAUGGUAUCUUAGAGUUUGUUAGAGAUAAGAGUCGUGUUUGAUAUGGACAUGUUUUGUAAUUCUCGGGUAUAAAUAGACCCCGAGCCCCAUGUAAUCAAAUUAACACACGUUCAAUACAAUCUCGGCGCAUCGCCACCCUUUUUACUUUCGUCUUGUUUCGACGAGUUCUUGCUUUCGGGUUGAGCUGCAUCGGUUUCGAUCUUCAACAAGAGGUAAAACUUGUUAUGGUGGCUUGCGUUCUCGGGAUUAGUGCUUCCAUCUUUAUGAUACUCUAAUCUUGUUUAUGUAAUUUGUCGAGUUAUCAUAUAUCUUACAUAAUCUCCGGCAAUAUCGCUAUCUAACCUAUAAUCGGCUAACAUCUGUCGGAAGAGGGCAGCCGAUUAGGUUAGAUAUCGAUGUUGACUUAGAUUAUAUAGGAUAUCCACCACUCUAUGAAACUUCCAAUGGCUUGAUUGUCUAGAUAUUGUCAUUCUUUUCAUACUUAUAGCUGCAUCAGUUGAGUUUGAUCUUAUAAGUCGUGAUUAGAAUCUCAAUCUCUAGCCUGCUUCUUGGUUGCCGAUUAGGGUAGUAUCGGGGUUUCAGCCGAUCUUACCUGAUUUAACUAUAUUUACUCUAUAUGCUUCGCUGAUAUGUUAAAUCUGCCAUUUAUAUUAAGAUCUUGUUGCAUUUAAGUAUAUUAGGCCUUUGUUUAAUAUAUCCUAUUUGCUUUGAUAUCCUAGUAUAGAGUUGUAUCGGAAUAUUAGCCGAUACAUGCUAGAUCUAUCUGAUCGGCUAUGCUAUGAACGUAUAUAGUCUUGUUGUUAAUAUAUAUUUUGAUCUAAGUGAUUUAUAUUGUCUCGGCAUGGCGACCAAUCUAUCCCAAUCACUUGAUUUAUGUAUAUAUCGACACGGGGAUUAUAUAUUGUUAAUAUCUACAGCCGAUCGAGUAGAUUUAGUUCUUCCUUACUUAUUUAUGACUGCCGAUCGAUGCAUAUGUGACAUCGGCUCAAAGAUAAAUGAUAUGUCAUCGGCACCUAGCCGAUCGGCUAUCGUUUAUGGAUUUAACCGCGGUUUCUUUGUCUUUGUUUCUUGUUGAUUGCAGGAUCAAAUCAACUGGCACGCUAGCAUACCCGAAGGCGAGUUUUGGACCUGCACUGGAGUUAAGUAGAUCCCCCAGGCCUCGUAUUUUUACGUCAACAGAUCCCCGACACCCGGUGAAAGUUGGAAGUGAAGCACCGCGUCCUAGACAAGAAGAAACUGGGAGAUGCCCGGGACAGUGAGGGCCCCGCGGAUGUCAGAAAUCCAAGCGUUGUUCGCCAGGCCAGAAGAAACCGUGCGCGAACCACGCAGACGCGGGGGCACAACGAAGAGGAGAUCUGGAGCCAAGGAGGCAACAGAGCGGCCACCGAUCCAUUGGUCAGACCAGAAGAGAAUCGACUCACCAUCACCCGGCACGAAGAAGGUGGACGCCUGAAACAUGUCAGUGACGGCUCGCUCGGCUGGGGCUUUCAGGCCGUCCCAGUAAGGAUUCCCUGAGUGUUGGAGCCAAAGCCAACGAACUCACAGGGCAAACCCUGCCAACUUCAGGUCAGGAAUUCCUAACCCACCGAAAGCUUUGGGACGACAGACAUUCGUCCAAGACACCCGGCACUACCCUCCAUGAGCCGAGUCUGUACCCGUCCACAAGAAGGCGCGGCGCUUCUUGUUAAUGGCCUUGAUCAUCCAGGCGGGAAGACCGAUCACCAUAGACACAUGGACCGGAAUGGAGGAGAGAACAGACUGGACCAGCACAGAGCGGCUAACCAGAGUGGUGAGUUGUCCCUUCCAGGGCGGAAGACGAUGGGAAACUUUGUCCACAAGAGGUUGCAGGGCCGCCUUCGGCAAUUUGCGAAUGGACAACGGAAUGCCGAGAUAGGAUUAGGGAAAAUCUGAGAUUGAGCGGGGAAAGCAGGACUGCACCAGGUCCAGGUCCUCCGCCGAACAGCGGAUCAGAGUAACCGAACACUUGGCAAAGUUAGUGCGAAGCCCGGAUGCUGCACCAAAGAUAGAGAGGAUACCCUGGAUGAAUUCGAGAUCCUGACGAACCGGGGAGAGGAAGAGAACCAAGUCAUCAGCGUAGAGGGAGGCAUGGUCGUUGAGCGGAAGGAACCCGCCUGACUCGGAGGCUUUGCGGAGCAUCGUAUUGAGCACAUCCAUGACCAGAAUGAAGAGCAUGGGAGAGAGAGGAUCUCCCUGCCGAAGACCGGGAAACAAGGCCCCGGCACCCCAUUGAUCAGCACCCGGGAAGAGGAGGCACCAAGAAUGAGGAAAAUCCAAUCACGCCAGCGCUGACUGAACCCCAGGUGGGCGAGCAUCUCAAGUAGAAACUGCCAGCUGACCGUGUCAAAAGCCUUGGCGAUGUCCACCUUAAGAAGGAGGCGGGGGAUAUGCUUGGCGUGGAGAGCCCUGGCCGCGAGCUGAACAUAGCGGAAGUUGUCAUGAAAGGGAUCGGCCUUUGACGAGGCACUCUGAUUGGGCGCCACAAGCUCGCCAAGGUGAGGAGAGAGACGGGAAGCCGGGAUCUUGGAGAACAACUUCCCAAAGCUGUGGAUGGGGCUAAUCGGUCGGAAAUCCUUGACGUCAACAGCCUCGUCCUUCUUUGGCAGAAGGGAGAUGAGGGUAUCAUUGAGGGAGGAGAACCCCCGACCGUUAGCGAGAAAGAGGGAGUUGAGAGCCGCCAUGACCUCUGGCUUGAUCACCGACCAGCAAGUCUUGUAGAACCGGCCCGUGAACCCAUCCGGACCGGGCGCCUUGUCAGAAGGUAAGGCCUUGACCACCGCCCAAACCUCCUCCUCCGAGAAAGGGUUGUCCAGCCCCCCAAGAUGCGCAGGGCAGAGACCAAGGGAGUGGAGGUCAAGGGCGAAAUCGCGCUCAACAGACGUCCCCAAGAUAGCGCCAAAGUGAGAAGAGGCAAGCUCCUGAAGCUCAUCGUGGGAGACGGCAAGUUGGUCCCCAUCUUGAAGACGUGUGAUGAAGUUCUUCCGCCUUCGGGCUCUAGCGUGCAGGUGGAAAAACAUGGUGUUUCUGUCACCCUCCUUGAGCCAGAUCAGACGCGAACGCUAGCGGGCUCGAGCGAGGCAAGCUAGCCCAAGGCACUUCAGUUUCAAAUCCCGCUGCAACCAAGUCUCCAGGGGGAGAGAGACCGGUUCUCUUGCGCGACGUCAAACCGGAAGACGUUCUCCUUCGCCAUCUGCAGUUGGAGACGGACGCUGCCGAUGUGACGGUCACUCCAACUCUUCAGGCGCUUAGCCGUGUUAGCAAAACACCAUGCCAGUGCGGGGAGAGGGGGAAGGUAGGAAAAUCUGUGUUGAAACAGAUUGCCAUGCUACCAUGUUGUGCUGAGGAUUAUCUAUGUUCUACUGAUUCAUCAGCGUCACCAAAGCAAUGACUAAUAUGAUCUAUUUAGUGCUGCAAUUUAAAAGUUCAAUUAUUGUCACAGUACACUACACACUCAUUUAACUCUGGCAAUUACGCAGUGUAGAGUUUGUAAUUAAAUGCAUAAUGCUCCAAUUGUCUCUUUCCAACCUCCUUUCGAAACCGAAAUGAAGGAAAUGAUGCCUCAGUGCUCAGUGCUUACUUUAGUACUCUCUAUUCUAUGAAUUUAGACACGUAAAGCACAUAUAUACAUCAAAACAGCCGAAAUUCUGACAAAUCGACCUUUAAUAAAAUUUAUUUUGAAAAUAGACCCAAAAUAUUCCUUACUUCCCUAAAUGUUUGACGCUGUUGACUUUUUAAAGUAUGUUUAACCAUUUGUCUUAUUCAAAAACUUUUGUGAAAUAUGUAAAACUAUAUGUAUAUAUAAAAGUAUAUUUAACAAUAAAUCAAAUGAUAGGAAAAGAAUUAAUUAUUAUUUAAAUUUUUUUAAAUAAGACGAACAGUCAAAUAUUUUUAAAAAAGUCAACGGCGUCAAACAUUUUGGGAUAAAGGGAGUAUGAAUAUUUACACAAUCUUGUCGCCAUAGAGCACCGUGAAGGCUAUGUCGUCCUCGUCCUUUGAAUUGGCUGACCGUCCCCGCCGCGGCCGCGUGAACGGCAGCACCAGCGAUGCCGUGAACCGCGCAGACAUGGACCGCCGGUGAGACGACGACGAAGGCGACGGCGUCGUCGUCGAAGCGAGAAUGUUCGCCCCCGUGUCGCAGCCGCCAUGGGACGCCGCGGCUGCAGGAGGAGGCGCGAGGAGCCUCGGCGGGAGCAGCAGCGUCGAUGCUGCCGCCGGCGCCGGCGCCGGAGAAGAAGAUGCACUGCUACUUCCGACGGCGGCGCCGCCGCCGCCGUGGUGUGGUUGCUGCUUCGGGACGCCUGGCUGGAGCUCCCACUUGAACGGGAUGGUGCCCGGCCUCUUGAACGACUCGUCCAACGCCAUUGGCGUCACCAACCAGAGCUUGAUCACUCGACGUUUAAUUCUUGCGUUUUUAUGUGCAGCGAAAGCCAUUAUUUGCACAUGGCACCUCGCUUUCUUGGAAAUUUUUUACAGGCAAGCGACGUGCACAUGCAAGUUAAUUACCAGCGAGAAAAUUAAUUGCAGUGGCUGUUGACAGCAUCAGUACAGUCGAUGAGAGUGAUUAGCAGUACUGGUAAUCACUAAUCGCUCUUGAAUAAAUAAAACGAUCGUGUUUACAGCUAGCUGCUUACAGAUCGGACCAUGCAAUUAGCAACCAUGCAUGUAUAAAAGUAGUCAAGUAGAAGGUUCACUGUAGUGGUGCUGCGUGAUUUUGGCAGUCAGAAUUGAGAAUGUCCACACAAUCACAAUUAAUGUGCGGAUCGGUCGAUGCAUACGCAGAUUUGAACAUAUACGAUCGGGAUUAAAACGGUGACGGAAAUUCCCAACCAACCGUCCGAGCAUCGUUUCAGUAAAACAUGGUAUUGUUUCUAACUCUCAUCCUAUAUAAAAUUUAGUUUAGCAUUGUAUAUAUUAUAAUCAGCCCUAAAUAUUACCUCUGUUUUAAAAUAUAAGAGAUUUUCUCAUAUAAUUACGUGCACAGCAUCUCUUAUAUUAUAUUUUAGGACGAAGUAACAAUUAAAAUGGGUAAAUAUGGUUCAUUCCCGAUCAACCGAUAAUAACUGUUCUGUAGAGUUGCAAUUUAGUCUCCAAACGGGCUGUUUGAUGGAAAGUUCCUCUCUCUUUUUUGUGAGGACUUAGCUGCAAAAUGACGAGCAUGAUGCAGAGGAGGACAAAUAGGAAGCUAUCAGUUGAUCAAUCCAGCGAGGAACAAGCUGUUUGAUGGUGCCAUUCAGUAUAUUUAUGUAGUAGUAAUGAAUAUAUUUCAAGCUGCCUUGCUUGUUGUCUUGUGCUCCAAAUGUCAUCGCUCCGAUAACUCAGAUCAAGUUCGCUGGAGCAUACUUAUUAUCUUAGAUAGUAGGAAUACUAGGCACCAACUCUUAAUAAUAAAUAAAUGGAUACAUCAUACAUGAUACUAACAGGUAAUAGCAUAUUAUUUGCUGCUUCUCCUAGAGAUCACUCCGGAACAUAUCUAUCUGGAAUCAUAUGAACUAGUGUUUUUGUCUUCCUGAGGACUUUGUUUUUGGAGGUCUUGUUGAGAGGACAUGGGCCGGUUACUAGGUUGGGCCAGAUCAGUUGCAGUUGAUGAUGGGCAAAUAGCUAGGCCCAAUUGUUAUCCAACCGCCCAGUGAACUGAGGCCCAAAUGAUCUUGUAACACUCUUCUCAGUUUGAUGAUGUCCAUUUUCACAGCACUCCUACUAGAAAUAUCUGACCCCCACGAUCUAUACUAUUGCACCACGUUUCAACAAAUCCUCUCUAUACUAUUAGUUCCCCCGAAUUUUAAAAUCAUCUACUUGUUUAAUAAAAAGAAAUCAUAGUAUUACUUAUAAGUGCUUAUUAAUUGAUUUAAUAAGUUAGAAACUCAAUUUGUUUUCCGUUGCAACGUACGGGCCACAGGCUAGUCAUAUCUGAAUGAUGCAAAAUUUGCAAGUGUUAGGUUUACCCCAGUAGCAUCCUUUGUAUUGGAGGUGUCCUGAAACUUCAGAGUUUGACAGAGAGACAAGGCUCACAUGUGUUGAUGCGAAGAGAGCUCCGGUAGGGAGCAUGCGGUGUCAGUCCUGUAUUCAUGAGACUCUGGUUUUGUCUGAACUGGCCCAGCCAUUCCUGUACUGAGAACAGUACAUCAAGAACGGCGUUUCGUCAUGCCAUGUUACAUUUACACCUGGAACUGCAAACCAGAUCUUUGCUGUACAGUAGCUGACAAGAUCAGUUACAUCAUAUGUCUCAGUGAGAGAGAAACCUACUACUAAUGGUGUGGCUGGCCAAUUCACACAUACAGUAUGUGUAGUAUGUUCUUCAUCAAAUGGUGGUGUUAGAUGAGCAUCUGAGACAGGCAGCCUGUCAUGGCAUGGCAUCUGAGAGGAAAAGCAAAACAAAAGCAACUUGGAAAAGAAUCAAAUCUUGAUGCACCAUGAAGCCCAUCAGUGAUACAUACUCCUACCAAGUAGGGCCAAAGGCCAGCAGGGUUAGAUCUACCACAAUUCCUAAGCUACUACAUCUGCCAUCCGAAUGUGCAUAUCAUCCACUUCCUUUCAAUUUGCAUUCACCAUUCCAACCAAUCGACACAACAGCAGCAGCAAAGUUAUGAGAAUUGAGAGACUCUAUACACACAGCUCCCCAUUCACAUGGCUCAAAAUCAGAACAAAUGGUGGUUAAGAAAAAAGCAGGAGGUUAGUCGAAGCUCGAUGACCGGCUCCAGUACCCGUCAGCUGAAGUGUCCAUGGUCUGUUCAGUGCUGCAGUGCGAGAGGGUGUCAUCCUCCAC
rnacentral:lncRNA from 1 species